UAUAAUUUGAGUUUGAUCCUGGCUCAGAGUGAAUGCUCUCAACAUGCUUUACACAUGCGAGUUGAACGAGCACUGCCCCUGGUUAGUGCUAGUAACGUACGGGUGCGUAAUAGCAAUCUCAAAUAUCUCUGUGGGGAAACCAAGAUCCCGGUUGGGAUACCCAACUGAAGUCUAAAUUCCGCAUAACUUAUUCUAUAAAGGCCACUAUUUCCUAAUUGGCUAGAGUAGGAUAAAAAAAAUUAAUUGCAGAGGUGUUUUGGUUGUGAAGAUCAGGUUGUUGGGGUGGUAAAGCGCCCCAAGCCAAUGACCUUUAGCUAGUUUGAAAAAAUGUAUAGCCACAUCGGGACUGCAACAAGGCCCGAAUUCCUUAGGGAGGCAGCAGUGGGGAAUACUGGACAAUGAGUUAAUGCUUGAUCCGGCAAUGUUGAAUGAAUGAUGUGAAUGUAAUGAGCUGUAAAAUUCUUACAGUCAAUUUCUUUUAUUAUGAAUUGGUUGAUAAAGCCCCGACUAACCUCGUGCCAGCAGUCGCGGUAAUACGGGGGGGGCGAGUGUUACUCAUCAUGACUAGGCGUAAAGGGUGGUGUGAUGGUUGGUGGUUGUUUUUUCUUAAAACCCAAUGGAAUGAUUGGCAGCGAAUCUAAACAAACCAGCUUGGGGAGCUUGGAGGAUAGAAUUACUAAUUUUUCAGGGGUAGAAUCCGCUCUAGAAGAUUAGGAGGCACAAAGGCGAAAGCAACUAUCUAUGGGCAACCGACGUUUAGACACGAAAGCGUGGGGAGCAAACAGGAUUAGAUACCCUGGUAGUCCAUGCCCUGACCUAUGAGUGGGAAAAUAUAUUUUGAUUUAGGAACCAGGUUUCUUAAAUUUACAGCUAAAUUAAUGCUGAACGAAAGAAAAAUUUAUUUUAGCUAACGCGCAAGCACUCCGCCUGGGGACUACGGCCGCAAGGUUGAAACUCAAAGGAAUUGACGGAGAAUCACACAAGCGGUGGAGCAUGUGGCUUAAUGCGUCAUAACGCGCAAAACCUUACCAAUUCUUGCAUACUAGAGGAUUUGCUAGAAACAAGCAGAACAUUAUUUCUUGUAUUCUUCGAGUUCAAAAAAUAACUUCUAGUCUCCACAGGAGCUGCAUGGCUGUCGUCAGUUCGUGCCGUGAGGUGUUUGGUUCAGUCCAGUAACGAACGUAACCCCUAGUUUCAGUUGGGUGGGGUGGAAUCCUAACGGAGUCCAAAUCUACUGGAAAUACAGUCAUUGAAAAAUGAAGGAAGUGGGAAGAUGUCAAGUCAGUAUGGCCUUGAUGGAUUGGGCCGCCGCACAUGCUACAAUGCUUAUUACAGAACGAUGCAAAAAUGUGAGUUUGAGCAAAUCGCUAAAAAUAAGCCUAGUUCAGAUUAUUCUCUGCAACUCGGGAAUAUGAAGGCGGAAUCGCUAGUAAUCGCGGAUCAGCACGCCGCGGUGAAUUGGAGUCUGAUUCUAGUACAUACCGCCCGUCACGCCACGAAAAUUUGUUUUGUUGGAAGUUUUUAUUAUAGAUUUCUUUCAUAGGGGGGCGUUUUACAUUUCGUUUUAUUUUAUUGGAGAAAUGUUAAGGACAAUAGCAAGAUAAAUAAUUAGGGUGAAGUCGUAACAGGGUAGUCGUAGGGGAACCUGUGGCUGGGUUAUAUAUAGA
rfam:Genlisea aurea contig_2620, whole genome shotgun sequence.